rnacentral:rRNA from 1 species
UACGUAGGGCGCGAGCGUUGUCCGGAUUUAUUGGGCGUAAAGAGCGUGUAGGCGGCUAUACAGGUCCGUUGUGAAAACUCGAGGCUCAACCUCGAGACGCCGAUGGAAACCGUAUGGCUAGAGUCCGGAAGAGGAGAGCGGAGUUCCUGGUGUAGCGGUGAAAUGCGCAGAUAUCAGGAAGAACACCCGUGGCGAAGGCGGCUCUCUGGGACGGUACUGACGCUGAGACGCGAAAGCGUGGGGAGCGAACAGG